rnacentral:rRNA from 1 species
GACGAACCGUGCGAACGUUAUUCGGAAUCACUGGGCUUAAAGCGCGUGUAGGCGGGACGGCACGUCGGUCGCUGAAAGCCCCCGGCUCAACCGGGGAACGGGCGCCGAUACGACCGCCCUCGAGGAACGUAGGGGGACCUGGAACUUCCGGUGGAGCGGUGAAAUGCGUUGAGAUCGGAAGGAACGCCCGUGGCGAAAGCGGCUCUCUGGGACGGUACUGACGCUGAGACGCGAAAGCGUGGGGAGCAAACAGG